GACAGUGAUGAAAAAAAUUACUCACAGACCUGUACUGAACAUUUCAUGUGGAUAAAGCAAUAUUGCCUUUUUCUGAGU
rnacentral:snoRNA from 1 species